UUCCUUCCUUCUCUCCCCUGUUUCUCUCUCUCUCAUUCUCUCUCUAAACAUAGAGAGAGAGAAAGAAAGCCAAAUUGUACGGAUCCAGUUCCCUAAUUACCAGAGAGAAGAGAGAGAGAGCCGAGGGGAGAGGGGCAAAAUUAAAUAAAAUUAAAUAAGGAAAUGGCAUUGAAUUUCAAGCCUUCGUUUGGCUUAUUUGCCACAGUUGCGCCUUGUUUUUGCAAUCUUUGCUCCUGUUGUUCGCGGCCAUGGCAAUGGCGGUUUAGCCCCCGCUCCUGCUCCCACCAGUGACGGAACUGCGAUUGACCAGGGCAUUGCAUACGGGCUAAUGGUGUUGGCUUUGGUGCUUACGUAUCUCAUCCACACAUUUGAUGCUCCGUCGAAUUUCUGAGUUUGUGAAAAUGGAGAAUUAAAUUAAUCACUUUCGUUUUUUCGUGUUCGGUUUUCGUGGUUUUCGAGACUUUGAUUAACUGGGAACGAAUCUAGCUCAGAGGAAACGUAGUGUGUGGCCUCGACUUUUGAUUUCGGAUGCAUUGAAGCUGGAUGAUUUUAUUUACUCUUACCGUAUUGAUAAAACCCUUUGCAAAUAUUUUUUAACAGACAUAUUUAUUUAAUGGCAACAUAUUUCGUUUCA